rnacentral:lncRNA from 1 species
UUAGCGCUGCUUUCCCAAGACAGGUUUAUAUGUGAUUAUGAUCUUCAGGCUUUGCCUAACCAGGUGGGCUUACUUUCCAAAUGUAUAAAGUAUGAUUGAGUUAUUAAGCUCUAAAUGUUUCAAUGAAAUGCAAACUGUUUAUUUAAUGAAAUGAAAACUGUUUAUCCAAUAAAAUGUUUAUGUGCACUCUGCUCUGUUUAAGGCUCGCAAUUCAUGGAUCGAUCGAGGUUCUCUUAUGGCCUAACACGUUAUUUGAGAAUUGUGUACACUUGUUAGUUGUUUCGGUGGGUUGAUCUCCAUCGGGCACUAAUUCAUGUAAGAGGCGUUAUAAGGGUGCUUGGCUGGAUGUGUUCCGGAGCAUGUAUCAUGUAAGGCCUGCCUGGGUAGCGUCCCGAGGUCAAUUCAACUUGUCUGAGUUACGUCCUCAGGGCAAGUGUCAUGGGAGAAAUGGAUCCGUCGAUGGCUAAAAGGUCCGGGAUCACAGCGAGUAACAGAAAGGGAGUGUGACAUGUGCGCACAAAUGAAAGAAAAUGUUUUAACAUGCUUAGAAGUACUUCUUUCAAUUUAAAACCUUCUAAGUCAUGUCAAGUAUGAUUGGAUAAACUGCUCUUUACGAAAAUAUGAAAUGUUUCAGAAAAUGCAUGCCCACUAAGUACAUUAGUACUUAGCCCAAAAUUACUUUCAAAUGUUUUCAGGUUGGCUGGCUGGUGCUGACGGGACGGAGCUGAGGCUAGAGUUAAAAUUUCUAUGUUAGACUUCCGCUGUAGCAAUUACUCAUAUCAGUCUUUUGUUUUUACAACUUAAGAUCUUCAUGUUAAAUUUCAAAUGAUAUACAUGACCGAGCUUAGACUCUUCACUACUAAAUUUAUGCUAAUGAAUGUCGGUUGUCAGAAGCAUGAAACAAAACUUGUGAUCCAAAGGGGCAUAGCCCGAAUUUCAAAUCCUAUUUCGGUUUUAACAAGGUUGUUCCUUGUUUAUUUCUAUGAAUUAUUCACACCUCGAUCAUAUUUAUUCCUUCAAGAAUUGGGGUGUGACA